rnacentral:lncRNA from 1 species
UCUCGCACUCUCUCUCUCGUUAAUAUAGUCUGCCGGAGAUUGAAGUCCACCGGAGUUACGAAACACCACUCACAAAAACUCAAACCUCAUCUGCACACGUCACUGGAACUCCAAGGCGACGUCGGAACGACUCAAAGUUCACCAGAGAAACCCGAAGCCACUGGAGCCGCACGGGAUCUACCGUAACUCGUUCCUUCUUCAUCUUCGUUUUAAACGAAGAACACACCGGAGCUCUCGACGAACGCGACUUGACCCAAUUCGGUAUACGUUUCUUUUCAACCAACUCGUUUCAUAUAUGUCGUUGAUUGAUCAAGAUACAAGAAAACAAGCUAGGACGGCUUUAGAAACCCAUUCUAGAAAUAAACUAUUGUUUGAAUUUAUGUUUGAAUGUUUGAAACUUUGUAUUGUCCUUUGGAAUUUAAUAAAAUGAUUUAAUUCAUAUUGUCA